rnacentral:lncRNA from 1 species
CUAACAACACACAACAUUCCAGGAAUGUACUACCAAAGUUCUAUCAAUAUUUGAAUGUCCUGGACAUUUAGGGAACAUUCGGUGAACAUCUGUUUAAAUUAUUCCUGGAAUGUUACCAUAAGACAUUCUGUGAACAUACUACCAAUGUUCCUAUAUUUUAAGUUGCGAAAUAAUACAUACGUGUAACAGAUACAACAUUACUUAUAACAUACCAGACAAACUAAGUGACACUUUAGGCCUACAGUGCAAUAAUAUGUCAAAUUUAAAGAGUUUCCCAAGUUCAAUUAAUACAAUAUUAUAAACAUACAAAUGUAAUAAAAAUUAUUGUUCGCGAAUAUUCAAUUUGGAAUGCGAUUUUGUUAAUAAAAAAAAUACUUAUAACUUAUGCAAAACCCAAGAGAGGCAUUUAUAUUUAUUUCUUUUGCGUUCAUUUUCAAAUUCGCCGUGCAUAUAUUUUUGUGCAUGGCGCUUGAGAGGGCAUCACGUGACUAAAAACGACCAACCAACGACCUCGCUUCGGCCAUCUUGGCAUCUUCAUCUUGGCCACCUUGCUUUGCCGUGGGUGGGUGGAUCGUUGUUAUUUGUGCUUUUUAAGAAUAUUUUUUUAAUUCGGAUACUUUUAUAAUAGCUUUAAUAGUAUUAUUAACAUAGUGAAUAAAAUGGUGUCCUGUUUUUAACGCAGUUGGAGUAGCAGAAACAAAUAAUGUAGAUAAAAAAAUCUGCAGGAAUAACGUUUCAAUUAUGACAGAAGCCCCAAACAAAUGACUGUGAAUGAAAAGCCCUAUUAAAAGCUUUCCAGAAGAUCCUGCGAAGAAGACAUGAAGUAUAGAUCAGAUUUGUUAAUAGAGGAGUAUGUUCAAAACACUUUUUAGAAAAAGAUAUUGACAGAACUUCACUUUCAUCUGUUCGUUUAAGAGACUGUGCUGUUCCAAUAGCUUAUGUCACACAGAAUCAGCUGAGAGAAGUGGUCUACAAAAAACCAGAAAGGAAACGGAAUAUGUGGCUACGAAUAGCAAAAGAAAGGUUUACAAAGCAAAUGUGACACAUUUUUUUAUAAUAUUUAGGAAUGUCAGUAUAUUACAUUAAAAAAUGUAUGUAAAGAUUUUUUGCAAUAAAAAUGUUUAUAUUUA